ensembl:lncRNA
GCUCUGUUAGUGUCACAUUCUAAAAACCUGAAGUGCAGAAAUGCCUUUGUUCACCAAAAAGUGGGGAUCCAUCCCAUAGAGCACCCUUGGGUGCCCUGGGCUCUGCAGCCCCAGGACCCUGCACGGUUUUGGGGUUCCCAGGAUCCUGCACAGCCUCUUCCCACACAGCCCCCACGUGGAUCCUUUUGCACCCCAAAGGAUCAGAGCCCAGUCCCUCUGUACCCCAAAGGAUCACAGAGCCCCAUACCCCAAAGGAUCAGAGCCCGAUCCCUCUGCACCCCAAAGGAUCAGAGCCCAAUCCCUCUGCACCCCAAAGGAUCACAGAGCCCAAUCCCUCUGUACCCCAAAGGAUCAGAGCCCAAUCCCCCUGCACCCCAAAGGAUCAGAGCCCAAUCCCUCUGCACCCCAAAGGAUCAGAGCCCAAUCUCUCUGCACCCCAAAGGAUCAGAGCCCAAUCUCCCUGUACCCCAAAGGAUCAGAACCCAGUCCCCCCGCACCCCAAAGGAUCAGAGCCCGAUCCCUCUGCACCCCAAAGGAUCAGAGCCCGAUCCCCCUGCACCCCAAAGGAUCAGAGCCCAAUCCCUCUGUACCCCAAAGGAUCAGAGCCCUGCACCCCAAAGGAUCAGAGCCCAGUCCCUCUGUACCCCAAAGGAUCAGAGCCCAAUCCCCCUGCACCCCAAAAGAUUAGAGCCCAGUCCCCCUGUACCCCAAAGGAUCAGAGCCCAAUCUCCCUGUACCCCAAAGGAUCACAGAGCCCAGUCCCUCUGCACCCCAAAGGAUCAGAGCUCAGUCCCCCUGCACCCCAAAGGAUCAGAGCCCAAUCUCUCUGCACCCCAAAGGAUCAGAGCCCGAUCCCUCUGCACCCCAAAGGAUCAGAGCCCAAUCUCCCUGUACCCCAAAGGAUCACACAUCCCAAUCCCCCUGCACCCCAAAGGAUCAGAGCCCAAUCUCCCUGUACCCCAAAGGAUCAGAGCCCAAUCCCCCUGUACCCCAAAGGAUCACAGAGCCCGAUCCCCCUGUACCCCAAAGGAUCAGAGCCCAAUCCCUCUGUACCCCAAAGGAUCAGAGCCUGAUCCCUCUGUACCCCAAAGGAUCAGAGCUCGAUCCCUCUGUACCCCAAAGGAUCAGAGCCCAAUCCCUCUGUACCCCAAAGGAUCACAGAGCCCAAUCCCCCUGUACCCCAAUACUCUGCUUCACACCCCUCAGCCCCUGUGCACCCCAAUGCAUCACACACCACAACACAUGACACUGCUCAGUCCUUCUGCACCCCAAUACACUGUGCACCCCAAUAGAUCACACCCCUCAGUCCCUGUGCACCCCUAUACACUGUGCACCCCAAUAGAUCACACAUCCCAGUCUUUGUGCACCCCAAUCUUUGUGCACUCUGCUCCCUGUACACCCCAAUACAUCACAAACCCCACUCUCUGUGCACCCCAAUAUAUCCCACACCCCAGUCAGGCCCUGUGCCCCCCAAUUCCCAUCCACCCUGCUCCCUGUGCACCCCAGCACAUCACACACCCCAAAGCAUUCUGCACCCCCAGUACAGACCCCAAAUUCCUGUGUACCCCAGUGCUGGUGUCCCCUGACACCCUGUGCACCCCAAAUUCAUCGUGCACCCCAUUCCUGCUCAUGUUCUGCACCACAGCCCCUGCUCUCCCUGUGCACCCCCUCCUUGUGCACCCCAACACUGCACAGCCCCUGUUCCCCCUGUACCCCAACACUGCACAGCCCCUGUUCCCCAUGUACCCCCUCCUUGUGCACCCCAACACUGCACAGUCCCUGCUCUCCGUGCACCCCAACACUGCACACCCCCUCCUUGUGCACCCCAACACUGCACAGCCCCUGCUCCCCCUGUACCCCAACACUGCACAGCCCCUGCUCCCUGUG